rnacentral:rRNA from 1 species
AUUGAACGCUGGCGGCAGGCCUAACACAUGCAAGUCGAGCGAGCGGCGGACGGGUGAGUAAUGUAUGGGGACUGCCCGAUAGAGGGGGCUAACUCCUGGAAACGGUAGCUAAUACCGCAUACUAUCGGAUAACCCAUAUGGGAUUAGCUAGUAGGUGAGGUAAUGGCUCACCAAGGCGACGAUCCCUAGCUGGUCUGAGAGGAUGAUCAGCCACACUGGAACUGAGACACGGCCCAGACUCCUACGGAGGCAGCAGUGGGGAAUAUUGCACAAUGGGCGCAAGCCUGAUGCAGCCAUGCCGCGUGUAUGAAGAAGGCCCUAGGGUUGUAAAGUACUUUCAGUCGGGAGGCGUUACCGACAGAAGAAGCACCGGCUAACUCCGUGCCAGCAGCCGCGGUAAUAC